GGAUGGAUCAUUACAAAAGAGACGGCAUGAAAAGGGUCUUUUUGACUCUUGACUGCCUGUCCAACCCACACUAUGUGAACUGUCUAACGUCUCUGGUAGGCGGAUCUCUUCAAAAAAGAUCCAGGCCAAGCCUUGAGAGUGUUUGUUUCGGCAAACUCUUUUUGACUUGACCAAACCUGCCAUGGGGUUUCGACUCCAACGUUUUAACACUGCGCUGAACCGUCCUAGUCUGAAACGUUAACACUAUUAAACAAUGUGAUAACAACUUUUGACAACGGAUCUCUUGGCUCUCGCAACGAUGAAGAACGCAGCGAAAUGCGAUACGUAAUGUGAAUUGCAGAAUUCCGUGAAUCAUCGAAUCUUUGAACGCAUAUUGCGACCUUCUGGUAUUCCGGGAGGUAUGCCUGUUUGAGAAUCGUGACUCCCUCACCCUCGAUAUGGGGUGGAUAUGAGUUUUCCCACGGUUUUUUACUGCUGGGUGACUUUAAAUUCAGGUAGGCCUUGGACGGAAACACCCGUUUAGGUGAAAAGGCGUGAUAAAACGUUGUGUUUGCAAAAAAGCAUGACAAGUAUAUCCUCGCUUCAAGUAACCGCGGGAUCAAAUGUUGAUCGACCAAAAGUGCCAACUAAACUCAGGAAAUUGAAAGUCCGUUAAAAAAAGACUUUCUGUGUACUGAAUCUCAAAUCAGGCAAGACGACCCGCUGAACUUAAGCAUAUCAAUAAGCGGAGGAAAAGAAACUAACAAGGAUUCCCCUAGUAACUGCGAGUGAAGCGGGAACAGCUCAAAUUUGAAAUCUCCGCGGUUUCCGCGGCGAAUUGUAGUUUCAAGAGGCGUUUUCGGCGGCGGCCUUGGCUCAAGUCCCUUGGAACAGGGUGUCAUAGAGGGUGAGAACCCCGUGAAGCCUUGGCUUGCUGCUAUGUGAUACGCUUUCAAAGAGUCGGGUUGUUUGGGAUUGCAGCCCUAAUCGGGAGGUAAAUUUCUUCUAAAGCUAAAUAUUGGCGAGAGACCGAUAGCGAACAAGUACCGUGAGGGAAAGAUGAAAAGAACUUUGAAAAGAGAGUUAAACAGUACGUGAAAUUGUCAAAAGGGAAUGGCUUGAAACCAGUCAUGCUGUCUGGAAUUCAGCAGGCCACACCGGCCUGUCCACUUUCCAGAUGGCAGGUCAACGUCAGUUUUUUUCGUGUCGAAAGGCCUUGGGAAGGUAGCGAGCCUUCGGGCGCGUGUUAUAGCCCCUGGCUCUGGCAUGUGAAGAGACUGAGGACCGCAGGGCGCAUUGGGUCAACCGGUCAGGCGAAUACCUUUUGAUGGACUGCACGCAGGCCAUUAGAAGGCAUAAACCUUUGCCGGGUACACCUCUCCGUCCCUUAGGACGUUGACGAAAUGGUUUUAAACCACCCGUCUUGAAACACGGACCAAGGAGUCUAACAUAUACGCGAGUAUUUGGGUGGCAAACCCAUAUGCGAAAUGAAAGUGAUUCAGGUGGGAUCCUCGGUGCACCAUCGACCGGUCUGGAUAUUUUAAUUGAUAGAUCUGAGUAAGAGCGUACAUGUUGGGACCCGAAAGAUGGUGAACUAUGCCUGAAUAGGGCGAAGCCAGAGGAAACUCUGGUGGAGGCUCGUAGCGGUUCUGACGUGCAAAUCGAUCGUCAAAUUUGGGUAUAGGGGCGAAAGACUAAUCGAACUAUCUAGUAGCUGGUUCCCUC
rnacentral:misc_RNA from 1 species